GGGCGGUUAGCUCAACUGGAAGAGCAUUCGGUUUACACCCGAAAGGUCAUAGGUUCGAACCCUAUACCGCCCA
rnacentral:tRNA from 1 species